AGAUGAAUGAUUGGUAUUCAUUUCAUUCAUUAGUUCAUAAAUUUAGUACAUUUUGUGAACUUGGAUUAGUUUACUUGUUUUUAAAAAUGAAUUAAAAUGUAUUUGAUCCUUUCAAAACAGUGAUUUUGGUGGAAUAGUGAGGAAUUUGAUCUGAAAACGAAUCUGUAGAUAUAAACAAAAUGUACACACAACGAUCGAUUAUUCUACGACUAUGUGUUUGGGUGAGCUUGGCUGCGUUGUGCUGCGGCCAGCGCGCUGAGCAGCUGUUGGCGCAGAACCCUUGCUACAGCAAGACCACGUGCAGUGACUGCAUCCGUACGCCCAGCUGUGCGUGGUGCUUCGCAGCAGAGUUCAACGGCCCGAGAUGCUUCAACCCAGCCAUGGAGAGGGGCGGCACCGCUGGAUGCAAUGAAGCCUUCAUUUUCAAUCCAGACAACCAACGCACUAUCGACCCUAGAUACAAUUUGGAACUAAGCAGAGCCACGUCCAGAGCGGGUAUGGUGGCAGGCUCAUUCGAGGAAUCCUAUAGCUCGAAGGGCAGCAGUUUCUCAGCGUCAGGUUCGUCGGCCGCCGCUGCCGGAGCCGCUGGCGCUGGUGGCGAGAGCCUGGUACAGAUGAGGCCACAGAGAGUCAACCUGAACUUAAGAAUGAAUCAAAUGCAAAAGCUGACAUUCGCUUACUCCCGGGCGCAAGAUUAUCCAGUAGACUUGUACUACCUUAUGGACCUCAGUAGGUCUAUGAAGAACGACAAAGAGAAGCUGAGUACGUUGGGCAGUCUGCUCUCAGCCACCAUGAGGAACAUGACUUCCCAGUUCAGAAUAGGUUUCGGUUCAUUUGUAGACAAACUAGUCAUGCCUUAUGUGUCUACCGUGCCUAAGAACUUGAUUUCGCCUUGCGAUGGUUGUGCAGCGCCUUAUGGAUACCAGAAUCAGAUGUCUCUCAGUACAGAUACAAACUUCUUCGAGCAAGCGGUAGCUAAUGCUGACGUGUCAGGUAACUUGGACGCGCCUGAAGGAGGUUUCGACGCCAUCAUGCAGGCCGUUGUGUGCAAGCAACAGAUCGGCUGGAGAGACCAGGCUAGGAGACUUCUUGUCUUCUCCACUGAUGCUGGAUUCCAUUAUGCUGGAGACGGAAAGCUCGGCGGUAUCGUCCAGCCUAAUGACGGCGAAUGCCACAUGAAGGACAAUACAUACACACACUCGACACUACAGGAUUACCCUAGCAUCUCACAAAUUAAUCAUAAGGUAAAGAAGCACGCCAUCAACGUGAUAUUCGCGGUGACAGCGGAACAGAUCAGCGUGUACGAACAACUGAGCAAGCACAUCGAGGGCUCCAGUACCGGCGUGCUCAGCAAUGAUUCCGACAACAUCGUCGAUUUAGUCAGAGAACAGUACAAUAAAAUUACAUCAACGGUGGAAAUGAAAGAUUCAUCAAGCGACGCCGUGCAAAUAGUGUAUUACUCAUCCUGUCUCACUGGCAAAGAUCCGAUACAGACCAACAAGUGCGACGGAUUGAAGGUGGGAGAUGUAGUAGAAUUCACAGCUGAGAUUACGCUGAAGGAAUGUCCCAAAGACCGCAAAAAUUGGAAGCAGACUUUCGAGAUCUCUCCCGUCGGUAUUUCUGACAGCCUCACCGUUGAUCUGGAGAUGGUUUGCGGCUGCCCCUGCGAACUGCCGGAUCACCAUGCCUACAACGACAGCCCAUUAGUAUGCAGCGGCGAAGGUGUCUCAGCUUGCGGAGUAUGCGUGUGCCACCCGGGGCGGUUCGGCAAGAACUGCGAGUGCUCCGCGGCGGGCGGCGUGUCGGCCGAGCAGGAGCGCGGCUGCCGCCCCACCAACGCCAGCACCGGCCCGCUCUGCUCCAACCGCGGCACCUGCAUCUGCGGCGUCUGCGAGUGCAACAAGAUGGAUGAUCCGCUCAAGGUGAUAUCAGGUCCUUUCUGCGAGUGCGACAACUUCACAUGCGACAUGAACAAGGGGCUGCUGUGCUCCGGGCCCGAGCACGGCGAGUGUGUGUGCGGCAAGUGCAGCUGCACCCCCGAGUACACCGGCCCCGCCUGCCAGUGCCUCAAGGACCAGACGCCGUGCCGCUCGCCUGAAAACAACGAAAUAUGCAGCGGUCACGGAAAAUGUGUUUGCGGUCAAUGUGUGUGCGAUGUUGGCGACGAUCGUCAUUACUCCGGCAGAUACUGUGAGAAGUGUCCUACGUGUCCCGGCCGUUGUCAGGAGUUCAAAGACUGUGUACUGUGCGAGGUACACAAACGCGGAGAGCUGUACAACGCCGAUAGGGACGACUGUGGAACUUGCGCAUACUUCCCCAUUAUUGAAGAAGGCAAAAUCGAAGCCAACGAAUCUCGAAACGAGCACUUGUGCAGUUUCUACGACGAAGAAGACUGUCUGUUCGUGUACGUGUACUCCUACAAUGACAACCAGCAGCUCGUGAUCAGGGCUCAGAAGGAACGGGAAUGUCCUAAGAAGGUACCUAUUCUGGGCAUUGUGCUCGGUGUAAUCGCAGCCAUCGUGUUGGUGGGGCUCGCGUUACUGAUGCUGUGGAAGAUGGCCACCACCAUACAUGAUCGCAGGGAGUUCGCACGCUUCGAGAAGGAACGCAUGAUGGCCAAGUGGGACACGGGCGAGAACCCCAUCUACAAGCAAGCGACGUCAACCUUCAAGAAUCCCACAUAUGCUGGAAAAUAGUAAUGUUGUGGAACAAUAGUCAACUACUAUGUGAAAUAGUCGUCUCAAAUAUACUGUAACUACGCCGCAUUUAUAAAGUAAUCAAGUUGUCAGUAUUCAAUGAAAUUUUGUUUUUAUAGAAUUUUUAUUAAAACAUUAGGAAACUUUAGGACAGUGGUUCUUAACCGGUGGUCCGCGGACCACUGGAGGUCCUUGGAUUCAUUCCAAGUGGUCCGCGAAG
rnacentral:misc_RNA from 1 species